GCAGGCGCGUAAAUUACCCAAUCCUGAUUCAGGGAGGUAGUGACAAGAAAUAACAACCUAUGUCCUUUUAGGACUGUGGAUUGUAAUGAGUUCAAUUUAAAAUACUGAACGAGGAACAAUUGGAGGGCAAGUCUGGUGCCAGCAGCCGCGGUAAUUCCAGCUCCAAUAGCGUAUAUUAAAGUUGUUGCAGUUAAAAAGCUCGUAGUUGAAUUUCUAUAUAGGUAUAAAUUGGAGCAAUUCAUUUAUAUUUAUAUAUCCGACAUUGAACUAUAACGGUUAUUUAGUUAAUUUUAUAGCGAACUGUCCUUUUACUUUGAAAAAAUUAGAGUGUUUCAGGCAGGCAAUUGCCCGAAUAUCUUAGCAUGGAAUAAUGGAAUAGGACUUUGGUUCAUUUGAUUGGUUAUUGAAUCAGAGUAAUGAUUAAUAGGGACAGUUGGGGGCAUUAGUAUUUAAUUGUCAGAGGUGAAAUUCUUGGAUUUAUUAAAGACUAACUUAUGCGAAAGCAUUUGCCAAGGAUGUUUUCAUUAAUCAAGAACGAAAGUUAGGGGAUCAAAGACGAUCAGAUACCGUCCUAGUCUUAACUAUAAACUAUACCGACUCAGGAUUGGCGAUGUUAAAACUUCGUCAGCACUGUAUGAGAAAUUAAAGUCUUUGGGUUCUUAGUUGGUGGAGUGAUUUGUCUGGUUAAUUCCGUUAACGAACGAGACCUUAACCUGCUAACUAGUUUGUAUUCUCACAGAGUACAAUACUUCUUAGAGGGACUAUAUAUGUUAAGUAUAUGGAAGUUUGAGG
rnacentral:rRNA from 1 species